UAAUGCAUUUGAGUGCUGGGUAGGUAGGAUCUUAGGAUCAUCAACUCUUGUACACUGUUUUAACUGGUUUUGCAUCUGUACAUACAUGUGUACAGCCGUAAAUCCAAGUGUACAUGCUGUCUUUUGCAGGCUUAUUUCAGGUUGUGGUUGUUUGUCCUAAAAUAUAUCAGUCUAUUUUUUUAUAUCCUCGUCCACUAAUCUGGGCACUCGAUUUACCCGAAGCCUUGUGAAUCAGGUUAUGCAAACCCGUUGCAUUUAGCACCAUCAAAGCUUGUUACUACAUCAGUUGCUUGCUCCAAGUGUCUUGUUCUUGGAUUCUUUGAUUUUAUACUGGUGUGCACAACGCUGGUAUUUCUGGAUAAGCUGAAACUAGUUUCUCCACCAUAUGCUAUCUAGCUGUUGGGUGCUAAUUAUAGUUACUUUAUAUGAAGAAACACUUACCUUGCAGCCAUCUAAUAUGCAAUUCUAAUAACAUGUGAUGCCUGCUUUUUUUAGUUGUAUAUGCCAUUCGUGCAUGAAUUCCUUUUCUUAUGUACCAACUCCCUAAUCAAUAUUUUGUGUUUUCAGUUCGCUAUCUUAGGAGAACCUGGUGUGCUAUAUGGGGAAGCAAAGCAGCAGCCCAGAACCCGACCUGUGAUUCCACAUGAAGGCACCACGACGCACCAUGAUGCUCCCUUGGAAGGGCUUCCGAGUCUGCACCCCACCGUCCGGACGGAGCAAGGAGGGGGCAUCGUCCAUACCGCGGAGUUGGUUGAGCCUUGAGUGCGACUUGGAGAAGCAGUGCAUCAUCUGGGGUCAUCUCUUGCUUGUGCCGUGAUGCUGGCGUUUCAUGUUUCGUCGCGAGCAUCAAGACGAAGAAGUCGGAAGAAGCAUAGUUCAAGCUCAUCGGAGCAAGUUCAAGGAGUAAUGAAGCUCUUGAUGCUGAUCCGUAUUGGAACAAAUUGAAGCACGAACUUGGCUUCUUUUUAUACUGUGAUCAUAAAAGACCCACAUCAUAAAAGAAGUCUUCUACUUGGACAUAUUGUACACCCAUAGAGCUUGUUAUACUGUGAUCGCAUUUGUAUGUGGUGAUGUAACGGAUUGUUGCUUCUUUUUAUUUGAAGUAUUACACCUGUUUUCUGUCUAUUUUGAUUUAAAUAUUGGUUGUUUAAUUAUUGGCAUAUUGAAAUAUGAGGAACAUGGCCAUGACAACAAGGACCCACAAACCAGAAUCGGACAUUUGGGACCCGCUUAUCAGAACCUGACAAUUGGGACCCAUUUGAAAAAGGAAAAAAGGGCCACAACCCAGAAAUAAAAAGGCCGAAUUAU